GUCUGAGUCUCAACAGCCCAUAAUGCGUCCAGGGUGCGUAGCUGGCAGCAAAUGACACUUCCGCGUCCGCUUGUGUCUGCUACCACCUCGGCAACGGCCAGAGAGGAAUCAGCUGCGGCGAAGAAGAGACAUGCUGGACCAACUGUAAACCUUACGGAUGUUCUCUCUGGAGUGAACCGUGCAAGAACCUCAAGCCACCAUCCACUGCGAUACCAGCCUGUGAACACUGGAUACUGAGGAGCGGCUGUGAACUGCCGCUGCCUGCUGCGGUAAACCCGCGGAGAACUGUGGCUGCGCCCUGGCUGCGCCCUGGCUGCGAUUCGUGGACUCAUGUGGCCCACUGUCAGGGAAGCCACCACGGACCUCGUGUGCCUCGUCGCCGCCGAAAGGGGCUAAACGACUUGAAAUGUAACGGGGAAGCGUUGUCAACGUUUCAGCUGAGGCAUCCCAUCUUCUCGCAGUUGUUGCACGCUUCUCGGUGCAUCUCAGCAGUCAUAAUCACGAAAUGUCUACUUAUCUACGAAUAUAGCAAACAAAACUGGUGAGGAGUGGUAGCUGCAGAGCAGAUGCAACGCUACGCUCUCCGCGGACUCUGGCUUCCUGGAGCUGAUGAACGUCCUGGACCAUCCCACCUGUCCACUGGAAGACCUGCCGCCAGAAACCAUGGAGCCGCCUAAGCAGAGCCGAGUGCAGCUGCGAAACGACGUGCCGCCGAGGUCUCCCAACAUCUCUGUGGCCAGUGACCUGGCGUGCACACCUCUGCCUCUUUUCCUGGAUCGCUGUCAGCUCGUUCAGCAUUUUUCAGGACGUCCGAUUUACUACGACACACAGUGUGCAUGAUGCUCGCUGCUAUUUAGACAAUCUUGCCAAGCAGUCGUGUCCGGAAUUGAAGGCUGCGGAUGUCAUCUGUUCUGUUUCCAGAGCUAUCCUGUUUCUGAAGUGUCGCAAUUUGUUCUCUUGUAAAGUCUCCUGGAGGGUCACCUUUUCCAGAAAAAGAAGUAACUUACCGUCCGAAUUUGAUUCGAAAGAGGACAAGCCAACAGAGAAAACACUGAGCUACAGCGCCAUGUUAGGCAGUGCCAUUUCGAAAUCCAAGCAUUUUAAAAUGCACAGAUUAAAACUUUUCGAAAUCUCAUUUAAAGCGUUUUGACUGCCGGAGUAUUCGCGUACUUUUCCUCAGUUAUGUAAUUUGUCUGGAAAGAUACUCUUGUGCUUCCAAAUCAUGCAUAUAACCCAGAUUCUAUGUUCUGAGGUCAUGCGACAUAUGGCAGGAGUCCCUGACUUACCUACAACGGAUCUGAUUGAGAGUGCCUUCACACGUCUCAGCUCUAUCUGGCUAAACAAAUUCUACUACCAAAUGUACGCCGGCUGUCGUCAUCUCACGCUUCCUAACCUGCCGAAGCAAGCAAAGUAUUCCGUGGUCAGAUCCUGUAUCCACUAAUACUCUGGAUAUAUGACGCACAACAAGUAUUGAUUCUGAAAAUACGAGCAAAUAUUGUCUUCCCCAGUCAGAUGAAAUUCCUCGUGGGAAUUUCACUGUCUAUAGCUUUGAAUUUCGUUUUACUUGGACUGGUGGGAUGCGUAUACCUAUUUACCCAGAAGUCCACGUGGGUCGAAAUUUCUAGUAGCAGUAAAUUUGGCCCAAAUAAAUAACUUCUUUACCUUCCAUUUAAGGCCGUCGUCUUAAGUUGGAUAGGUACUAUAAUUAAGAUAUAGUUGCACAAGGCGUAGCCCAGUUUUUGUGUUACGUUCAUGUAACUACAGUGAUACAGGAGCCAGAGCUGCUCGUUUUUUUGUUUUUGUUUUUUUUUUUCAUUUGACACGAAACGGCGCUCCCUAUAACAAGGAACACGGUACUGUCGUGGUGGAACCCAGACAUCAUCCUUCCAGGGCUAGAGCUCUGUAAAGUAGCUGGUGUACAAUUUCUGGCUGUGAAAUCCCUUUGUAAUCUUUGUGAAUAUAUUUUCAAAGGACUGCUUUAAUUACAGACUAUAAUAAAGCCUGUCCUCGGUUGUAAAGAUAGAAGCUAGCUGAUGAGACAAAAUGAACUGCAACCAAACCGUAAAACCAGUGCCUCAGUUUUCUAAUUUACUCUUCAUUCUCAAUUUUCUGUUUAUUUGUACGUGGUAGCGUCUACGUAUUUUAAUGCACCGAUGUUAAGUAAUUACUUACUCUCAUGGCCCCGGAAUCCACAGUCGAUUUUUGACCGCGUCAAGUAACCUUCUUCACAGCGUCCAUCCUCCGCAUCUUCUUCUCUUGCUCUACGUGGCUGAAGAUCCUUUGGCCACAGGGUAUCUACAUCUUGUCUGCGUUCUGCCUGAAGAUUUUCGUCCUGGUUUCUUCUCUGUUGCUUCUAUCAAUUUUGAUUCCUUCCCUCCCACCCCUCUGCCCCCCCCCCCCACACGUCUACUAUAGAGAUGGCCAACCUGUCUCAGUCUCCUCACCUAGGCAUCCGCAACACUAUGUGGUUCAUUUUAUAUCUCCAUGAAUUACCUGUUAUGUCCUCUUUGUCAUGCUCCUGCCUAAAAAAUUCGUCGGGACAUUUUAUUUUCAAAAACCUUUGUCAUUCUCUCUGUUAUAAUUACCUAUUCAACAUAUUUCUGUGUUAUAUAGUAACAGUGGUCUAAUUAUUGUUUUAUAUAUCCUCAUUUUGCUUUCCCUUAAAAAGUUUUGGCUGAUAAUAAUUUGUUGAGUAUAUUUGACCCUCUGGAUGUUGUUUCGAUCCUCACUUCUGUUUCUUGUUGUCGUAAUUUCUCUUGUUAACUACCACCCACAGAUUUUUAGACUCAUCUACUUCUUCGAGGAUGUUGUCAUCGAUCUGCAUGGUUCCUCACCUUACUGCCUUGUAAUUUCUUUCACUCCUUACGAAUUUUUGUUCUCUCGUCGUUUACCUCCUAUCCAAUUUCUCUUGAUUGUUUGUAAAUGGCAUUGUUUCCAAUAUUUUCAGGUCAUCUAGAUUUUCGCUGAUUAACGCUACAUCAUUUGCAAAGGCAAGUAAUUCAUUUUUAU